CACCUGUUUUGGCUAACCAAAAGAAAUCUGAAGGGGAUUUUCGCUUAUACAAAAGAAUAAAAAAAGCAUGAAGCAAAAAUAGCAUUCAGCAUUUGUUUGCUGCAAGCUGUUUAUAGGGGCAUCACUCACCCCCAGCAGCAAGAGGGGAGACGCCAGGCUCCUUCUUGGGAACCACACAGCAUCUCAGCAUCUCAGCAUCAAGCCCCCACAGGGCUAUGAACUGUGUCUGUGAGCAUCUGUGCUUUAUCUUAAUUUGUUUUGUGCAUCUGUUAGCAAGAUGUGGUACCAGAAAAGGUACCAGAAAAGCCUAAAAGAGGUGAUUUUGGGGGUCUGGGAAUGCCCAGGAAUUUUUCUAUAUAAAUAAAUGGUAAUUGAUUUACACCAUUUUACUUAGGGGCGGUUUCCUAGGUAGUGAGAGAAACCUUUAAAUGGCAAGUUUAUUUUCUUCUCUGUUCUCCCUUUUCUGGAGUCUGAUGCCUUGCAAGGUUUUUGUAAUAUAAUUCAAAGAUAGGAAACAAAGAGAUUCUUUGAGCAUUAGAAGGGAUAGUCUAUUUUUAUAGCAUUUUUCAGACAAGGAAACUGAGCUGUAGGAUUCUUAUGAGUAAUAUGUCCACUAUGCAGGUAGGAAGUAGUGAAACCAAAACACUCUGUCUUCAGAGCUUACACUCCUAAUAAUCAUGCAGUCUACGCUACAUAAUGUAGUGUAUUAAGAUGGCUACGAAUUCUUUGACACCUUCCACCAACAGGUGGAUUCUAUGGCCCCUUCCAUAGAAUCUGGGUUGGCUCUGUGAUUAUCUAAUACAAUGUGGAGGAAGUGAUGUGCCAGUUUCCCAGCCCAGGUCUUAAGAGACUAGUUAGUAGCUUCUGUUUCCUAUUUGUAUAGAUGCUCAUUCUUUGAGCUCUGAGUCUGCAUAUAAGAAAUCAGACUACCCUGAUGGAUAGCUCAUUUGGAAGAACUCGAGAUGACACAGAGAGGGUGAGCAGCCCAGCUGAGUGCAAUUUUCCAGCCAUCCCCACCAAGGCCCCGGGCAUGUGAAUAAAGCCCUUUUAACCCUCCAGAGAAAGCUAGCCACCAGCUGAAUACCAGUGUGACCCCAGGCGGUUGCCAGAAGGACCGAAAUAAUCAUCUAUCAGAGCCCUGCUCAAAUUCCCAACUCAUGGAUUGCGAGCUGUUUUACACCACUAUGAUUGGGAAGGUUUGUUAGCACAGAAACUAGAACACAUGUAUCAUUUCAUGGGAAUCUCAUACUGCCAUCUGAAUAGGUAGCACUUUUCCAUUUUUUGGAAGAGAUCAUGGUGUAGUAAAGUAUCUUCCCCAACGUUCCACACUGCUAAAUGGUAAAGCUACAUAACAGCUGGGUUUCUGGACUUAGCCCACACUUGCCUGCCACUGGAUGUUGCCUCCAGGUGCUGCAGAGAAAGAACUCCAGCGUUGCCAUGGCAGCCAUGACUCCCCACCGGGGUCCAGGGCAACAUGGUACUCAAGAGAGCUCCAGCUAACCCUAGCUUCCUCUUUGCCUCACAUCCCAUCUUCAUAUCACUGCCAACCCUACCACCUAGACAAGCCCAGCUUCUCCUAUACUAGCUCUGUGAUCUUCAGCAAGUUACUGAACAUAAGCUGAGUGUAUGGAAAGUGUCAGCUGCCACCAUGACUCUGAUUGCAACCCAAAAUCCGUUUCAUAGUCAAAUAUCAUAAGGAAUAAGAACUCCGGCUUCUGGGCCUACCAUAGGCACUCAGAAUUCUCCAACCAAAUAUAAACAGUAGAUCCAACUAGUAGCCCUCUUGUUAAUCAACAUAUAUAAUUUGUGAUUCAUCUUUGCUGAUGUAUGUACAUUUACUGUGUUGCUUCAGAUGGACGCAUGAGACCCUCUGGUAUGUGUCCACCACAUUUUAUCUAUAUAUAAUGAAACUACUAUGUUUCAGGAUCUGUGUUAAAAUCUUUAUAUUGAUUUAAUUUAACCCUUUCAAGAACACCACGAAAAGUAUUUUUAAUGAAUUUACAUGCAAUUUUAUGAUUCCAUCACCUUAGAAACUGUCCUAGGUGCCAAAGUCAUCUGGCUUGAGAGGAGGAUGAUUCAAAGCUCUCCUCAGAUGCAGCUAUUUUAUAACAAGGAGUUGGGCACAGAGAAGCAAAGGACCAGAAAGAGGAAAGUGAGGAAAGCAUCAAAUUUUAAUUCAGUUUUCCCAUUUACUUCCUGAGUAAAUUUAUCAAGCAUCUCCUGUGCACCAGUGCAUUAUUCUGGGUCCUCCAAGAAGCAGGCAUCAAGACAGGAUUAAAUGUGCAAGAAAUUUAUUAGGGGGAACAUCUAUGGGGGAUAAUCGGAAGGGUGCCGGGAAAGGCUGAGAGAGCCAUCAGAUCAUGAUGCAGGUCUGACUCUGCAUGAAGGAAGGAAGCAAGGUUGGGUGGAUGCUUCCUAGAUAGCCAUCCAGCUUAAGAAAAGUUAGGCAAGGCCAUGGGGGUGUCUUGAAGCCAAGGGUUGCUCAUUGGAGGAGUCCUACAUCUCUUGGGAAUGGGCCUGUUUAAUCUCUGCCAUGCACAGCCAGCCAAUGUCUGGAAGCAGCCCAUGGGCAACAUGGCUUUGGUACAAACUCAACAAUAGUUUUCAGAGCCAAACAGGACUUUUUUUUAUCUACCAAAAAAGGGAAAAAGAGCUCUAAUGUGGAAGAGGGGAGACUUCAGCCCAGCCUGUUCCUAACCUAUUAAGCAUCCUCCAGGAGGCUUUCUGCCAACAAGGGUCUGGGCAUUCUCACCUAUACUCCCAAAUCUGGAGAGAUGCACAAGGAAUGAGAGAAUUUUUAACAUUUAUUCAACCGGAUGCAUUCCUGGCUGGUCUGUACUCCCCCACUCUCAUUUAUUAGUUAUUGAAGAAGAGACAUUCACCUUCAUAACCCACUUGUUUUUUGUUUUUGUUUUUGCUGUUUGAUCACAUCAGCUGCAAUGUGGGGAAUGGAUCAAAGAAAGGCAAAUUAGAAGCAAAGAGGCCACUUAGGUGUCCAGACUAAAGUGGUGGCAAUGGAGGUGGGGAGAAGAGAAUUGGUUGAAAAUAUAUUUUGCAGAUAUAAUCCACAGGAUUACUGGUGGAUUACACAUCCUUGACUUCAAAGAUUACACACCUGGACAGACUGGAGUAGAAUGUGUCAGAAGGCCAUCACAAUUUAGAAAUACUAAAUGCUAUUGUUCUUUAGCUUUUACUACAACCAUACUGUGAAGAGGCCAUCUUGAAGGAUGGAUCUAACACUACCCAAUCAUGUACAAUCUCGUUGUGAUUUCCAUAGAAAGACCCAUGACUGUCACUUGUGUUAGUUGAUACUGUUAGGUUAUUUUUUAAAUUUUCGUAUCCAAAUGAGCUCAUCUACUAAAAGCAAAUGAGAACUCAAAAUCAUUUUAUAAAACCAUCUGGAUAAUAAUGUUAGAGCUCAGCAAUUUAUUUUAUUUUAUUUUAUUUUAUUUUAUUUUAUUUUAUUUUUUCUCAUAAAUAACAAAUGCGUUCUUGAUUUAUUGUGUGGUGAUACUAUAACACAACCUUCACACUGACUGAAUAGGAUAGAGCUCAGCAAUUUUAAAUUAAGGAGAGAAGAUAUCCUAAAAUAGGAAAUUCACCUGGAGUUUGGAAAGAGGGUAUAAAAAGCACAUACCUAAUGUCACUGUGAACUUUUCAUGUCUAACAACUGAGAUACCCCACUGAGUGUCAUUUCACUGAGAUUCCAGAAAUCCAGAAUAACCUUAAGAAAUUGUCUUUGGUCUCCUUUCUGAGCACAACACCUCCUUACUUUAACCUAAAUGGAAGUGUAUUCUAUUAGAUUGAGAUCAAUCGGUAAAGCUAGCUACAGGUUUAUUGUUGGCAAAAGAAAGUCUGGGGGAAGUGUGCAAGAAUGUCCACUGCCUCCCCAUGCAUGCCAACCUUGAUGUCACGCCCUUCACGCCAGGGGUCACUAAGGGGCCUGCAUGCAAGGGUAUGCAAGUUUGUGCUAGAGAAAGGAGAGCGAGCACCAUGAGGGAGUUGAGGACCACCCACUCCACAGAGGAAAAGCAUGUCUAAUGCUUGGGGCAAUCUGCUGUGUGCGAUGUUGUCCUCUCUUCCCUCUUGCCUAUCAAUUCUUCAGUGAUGUCUACACUGCACGUAGAAGCAGUUUAAUGAAUUAAUUCAGUAAGGAUACAAAUAAGAACAGCUUUAUUUUCUUCUUUCCACUGCUUCCAGCAUGUUCUGAUGGAUCCUUUCUGCACAUUCUGAUGACAUCCCAGGCAGAAACUGUGGCUUUCUGAUUUCUUUGGUCUCAUGAAUAAUCUCCUUUCAGGUGUAAAAACUAAUUUUCAGAUACUAUAAAGUCCUGUCCAACAAAACAAAACUUGAGCCUCGUAUCUAAUGCCAAGCUCUGUCCCUCUCCUUUUUCCUGCCUCCACUAAUCACCCUUCCCUGAUCAGGUUUAUGUUCUACCAAAAUACAUAUGUUGAAACCCUAACCGCCCAUGAUGGGGUUAAUGCCCUUAUAAGAAGAGACAGGAAAGAGCUUGCUUCCUGUCUCUGGUAUGUGAGGACCCAGCAAGAAGACAGCCAUUUGCAGAGAGAGAGAGAUCUCACCAGAACUCAAGCAUGGUGGUACCCUGAUCUUGGACUUCCCAGCCUCCAGAACUGUGGGAAAUAAAUUUCUGUGAAGCCUCCCAGUCUAUGAUAUUCUGUUACAGUGGUGCACACUGACCAAAACAAUGGCUCAAGCUUGACCACCUUCUGUGGCAAAGAAAGGAAGCCUCCUAAACUCCAGCCUCAAAGAAUGGCUGCCAUGGUUCAGAGCUCAGCCAGCAUCCAGCCAGGAUCCAGGGUCUGCUGGAGGAGACCCCCUUUCUGUUGUUAUCAUGUCCUUCAGAUGAGUAGAGGGUGCGGAGUGAGGAAAAGGAGAAGAGGAAUCAUGCCUUGAUGCAUUGGGAACUGCCAGACAGGUCAAAUAGUGACAGUUCUCUGGGGAGAGACUCUUGGAAACCUCCAAACUUUUUCAGCCCCUUCGAGUGGAGAUCUUUUUUCUUUAUGCUUCAACAGACCCUCCACUCCAGUCCAGGAAGAGAAAGCCUUAGUGACUGCUUACAGGAAACAGCAGAUUCCCUGAAAAAAGUGCAGAACCUGAGAAUCCAGCAACGAAUCACAGUCCCAGCGACAGGAUGGGGGUCAAACCACACAGCAACAACUCUAUGACAGGCACAGUGCUCAGCGCUGGAAAUGAAAGACCUAAUUCCUGCCCUGAGGAGCUUAUCAUCUACAUCAAACUGUGGUCUCCUCCUCCAGCAAGACAGUGGGUUUCCUUCCAUAGGCUCUGGCCUGAUGCAUGCAGAAGUGAUGCUGACUCAGAGCAACUAUCAACUCUUGCUGAUGCACCUUUUUGAAAUGGUCGGGCCUCAUUCCCUGUUGCUAAGCUUGUGACAAAUUUCAUGCCUUAAAGGCAUGCAUCUUUGGACCACAAUCUACAGAAGUUCUGGAAACCCAAAUUUAGGAAGGGCUGCUCCGCUCGCAGUCAGCACUGUGAAUUAUAAGAGACACCCUGUCCGUGGAGACCUCAGAACAAAAGAAAUAAGGCUUUGUAAUCAACAGUAAACAAGGGAAUUAAACCAGCGCCAGGCCUGUGACUGUGGGGGUCAUGCCCUUGCGAGGCAAUAAAAAGGAAGACAAAAUAUAUAAAAACUGCUAUUUUUUACAAACUGGACUGCAGUCUUCAUCUGCCCUGCUGUAACAGCUAGAAGACCCCUAGUAGCCUGGAAUGAAUGUGGAGGCACCCAGGCACCUUUUGAAAAGACUUCAGUAUCCCCUCCAGAAUGUCCUGCUUUCCAGAUUCCCAGAUCCCUGUCAUCCUGGCGAGCACCAUACUCUGUGAGGAAACCAAGGUGCUGCCAGGAUCAUGUGUCAAAU